rnacentral:rRNA from 1 species
UACGUAGGGGGCUAGCGUUGUCCGGAAUCAUUGGGCGUAAAGCGCGUGUAGGCGGCCCGGUAAGUCCGCUGUGAAAGUCGGGGGCUCAACCCUCGGAUGCCGGUGGAUACUGUCGGGCUCGAGUACGGAAGAGGCGAGUGGAAUUCCUGGUGUAGCGGUGAAAUGCGCAGAUAUCAGGAGGAACACCUAUUGCGAAGGCAGCUCACUACACAGUUAUUGACGCUGAGGCACGAAAGCGUGGGGAUCAAACAGG